rnacentral:tRNA from 1 species
GGAGAGGUGGCCGAGUGGCUGAAGGCGCACGCCUGCUAAGCGUGUGUGGGGUAAAACUCACCGAGGGUUCGAAUCCCUCCCUCUCCGCCA